AUUGAACGCUGGCGGCAGGCCUAACACAUGCAAGUCGAGCGGUAGCACAGAGAGCUUGCUCUCGGGUGACGAGCGGCGGACGGGUGAGUAAUGUCUGGGAAACUGCCUGAUGGAGGGGGAUAACUACUGGAAACGGUAGCUAAUACCGCAUAACGUCGCAAGACCAAAGAGGGGGACCUUCGGGCCUCUUGCCAUCAGAUGUGCCCAGAUGGGAUUAGCUAGUAGGUGGGGUAACGGCUCACCUAGGCGACGAUCCCUAGCUGGUCUGAGAGGAUGACCAGCCACACUGGAACUGAGACACGGGCCAGACUCCUACGGGAGGCAGCAGUGGGGAAUAUUGCACAAUGGGCGCAAGCCUGAUGCAGCCAUGCCGCGUGUAUGAAGAAGGCCUUCGGGUUGUAAAGUACUUUCAGCGGGGAGGAAGGCGAUAAGGUUAAUAACCUUGUCGAUUGACGUUACCCGCAGAAGAAGCACCGGCUAACUCCGUGCCAGCCGCCGCAGUAA
rnacentral:rRNA from 1 species